AUUGAACGCUGGCGGCAGGCUUAACACAUGCAAGUCGAGCGAGCGGCGGACGGGUGAGUAAUGUCUGGGAAACUGCCUGAUGGAGGGGGAUAACUACUGGAAAAGGUAGCUAAUACCGCAUACCAUCAGAUGUGCCCAGAUGGGAUUAGCUAGUAGGUGGGGUAAUGGCUCACCUAGGCGACGAUCCCUAGCUGGUCUGAGAGGAUGACCGUCCACACGGGACCUGGGACACGGUCCAGACUCCUACGGCAGGAACCAGUGGGUAAUAUUGCACAUUGGGCGCAAGCCUGAUGCAGCCAUGCCGCGUGUGGGAAGAGGGCCUUCGGGUUGUAAAGCACUUUCAGCGAGGAGGCGUUACUCGCAGAAGAAGCACCGGCUAACUCCGUGCCAGCCGCCGCGGUAAUUC
rnacentral:rRNA from 1 species